CCCAGACUCCUACGGGAGGCAGCAGUGGGGAAUAUUGCACAAUGGGGGGAACCCUGAUGCAGCGACGCCGCGUGAGUGAAGAAGUAUUUCGGUAUGUAAAGCUCUAUCAGCAGGGAAGAAAAUGACGGUACCUGACUAAGAAGCCCCGGCUAACUACGUGCCAGCAGCCGCGGUAAUACGUAGGGGGCAAGCGUUAUCCGGAUUUACUGGGUGUAAAGGGAGCGUAGACGGCAGCACAAGUCUGGAGUGAAAUCCCGGGGCUUAACCCCGGAACUGCUUUGGAAACUGUGCGGCUGGAGUGCAGGAGGGGUAAGCGGAAUUCCUAGUGUAGCGGUGAAAUGCGUAGAUAUUAGGAGGAACACCGGUGGCGAAGGCGGCUUGCUGGACGAUGACUGACGUUGAGGCUCGAAAGCGUGGGGAGCAAACAGGAUUAGAUACCCCAGUA
rnacentral:rRNA from 1 species